AUUGAACGCUGGCGGAAUGCUUUACACAUGCAAGUCGAACGGCAGCACGGACUUCGGUCUGGUGGCGAGUGGCGAACGGGUGAGUAAUGUAUCGGAACGUGCCCAGUCGUGGGGGAUAACGUAGUGAAAAUUACGCUAAUACCGCAUACGAUCUGUGGAUGAAAGCGGGGGAUCGCAAGACCUCGCGCGAUUGGAGCGGCCGAUAUCAGAUUAGGUAGUUGGGGGGGUAAAGGCCCACCAAGCCAACGAUCUGUAGCUGGUCUGAGAGGACGACCAGCCACACUGGAACUGAGACACGGUCCAGACUCCUAUGGGAGGCAGCAGUGGGGAAUUUUGGACAAUGGGCGAAGCCUGAUCCAGCCAUUCCGCGUGCAGGAUGAAGGCCCUCGGGUUGUAAACUGCUUUUGUACAGGACGAAAAGGUUUCUACUAAUACUAGGAGCUCAUGACGGUACUGUAAGAAUAAGCACCGGCUAACUACGUGCCAGCCGCCGCGGUAA
rnacentral:rRNA from 1 species